AUGAGCCUAUUGCUAGAAACUUUGGUGAAAAUUUUGAAGAUAACAUUGAGGAGGCAAAUUGUUUUGUAUUGUUGGAUCUGCUCAACCUCCCUAAUUUUAAGCAAAAAAACUACCUCGCCAAAAAAACUACCUCGCCAAAAUUGUUUUGAAAUGGAGAUAUCAGAAUCUUCCAAUCUGCCACAAGGAUCUAAUUGCAAGUAUCUUGGCCUUUUUCCCAUCUUAUCCCAACAUUCCUUCCCGCUCGAUGCGUGGGCCUUGGCCUCGGCCUCGGCUUGGUGCCCGCGCAUGUGCCCGCCCAGCGCCUUAUGUACACCCUGCCCGGUAGCGGCGACGAGCGCCGCCGCGCUCCUGCACUUGGCGCAGUUCUCCGAAGGCGUCAGGUUCAGGUCCAGGCAGAUCCCGCCGUCGUCGCACGAGGCCACCACCAUCUCGGUCGUCGCCGCUGCCUUGAUGCUCGUGGCGCUGGCCCCGGCCACAGCUUCGGCUUCGACGCGGUGCCGGCGCAUGUGCCCGCCCAGCGCCUGGCCGACGGCGAACUCGAGCCCGCAGACGGGACACUCGUGCACCCUUGGCCUGGGCGGCUGCGGCGGCGCCUGGGGCGCCCGGCGGCCGAGGCAGAGCGCUGCGUCGUCGCCGACGCCGACGAGUGCGUGCUGCGGGGGUGGGUGCUGGAGCCUGUGGCGCUUGUGGCUGGCGCGGUGUCCUCCGAGCGCCUGGAACGUGGGGAACUGCCGGUUGCACGUCUUGCACUCGAACAUGCGGCCGCCGCCCAUCGCCUGCGGCGCCCCGGCGACGCCGCGCUGGUGGUGCUGCUGCUGCGCGAGGAGCAUGAGCAGGCGGGACGUGUCGAAGCUGCCCAGCUCCACGUCCCACACGCCCCUGCCUCUCUUGCUCAUGGCUGAUGUCUCUCGAGUCUGGACUCGAUCGCUGGCAGGCUAG
rnacentral:rRNA from 1 species